rnacentral:sRNA from 1 species
UAAGCGAAUGCAAAGGUCUUUGAUGUUUC